UCCCCCGUGGCGCAAUUGGCUAGCGCGUCUGACUGUUAUUCUCUACCAUAUAUCAGGGUAAGUCUUACAAUCUAUCAAAAAGUCCAUUUCCUAACAUAUUUUCAGAGGUUGGUGGUUCGAGCCCACCCGGAGGAG